UGGGGAAUAUUGGACAAUGGGGGAAACCCUGAUCCAGCAAUGCCGCGUGAGUGAUGAAGGCCCUAGGGUUGUAAAACUCUUUCAGAAGUGAAGAUGAUGACGGUAACUUCAGAAGAAGCUCCGGCUAACUCCGUGCCAGCAGCCGCGGUAAUACGGAGGGAGCUAGCGUUGUUCGGAAUUACUGGGCGUAAAGAGCGUGUAGGCUGUUAGGUAAGUCAGAGGUGAAAUCCCUAAGCUCAACUUAGGAACUGCCUUUGAUACUAUCUUACUAGAGAUCGAGAGAAGUUAGCGGAAUUCCAAGUGUAGAGGUGAAAUUCGUAGAUAUUUGGAAGAACACCAGUGGCGAAAGC
rnacentral:rRNA from 1 species